AGUUAAAUCACCUGGUUUUAGUCGACAACAAUCGUGAAAUAUUCUUCUCCAUUUCAUAUACUCAAUGGCCACCAACCCAAAUCAUUUGACCCCGAAGGCGAGCUCCGUAAUUCUGGCCGGACUUGGAGUGGCCGCCGUGGGAUUCGCCGGGAAGCACCUGAUACGCCGCAUGCCCCAGAUGACCACCAAAUUCAAUGAGGCUCUGAAGAACCUGCCCAAAUUCGAUGCUGAGAGCAUGGCGGCCUCCAAGUACUACAAAGGUGGCUUCGAUCCCAAGAUGAACAAGCGGGAGGCCUCCCUCAUCCUGGGCGUCAGUCCCAGUGCGUCCAAGCUCAAGAUAAAGGACGCUCACAAAAAGAUCAUGUUGUUGAACCAUCCGGAUCGAGGCGGUUCGCCCUAUUUGGCGGCCAAAAUCAACGAGGCUAAAGACUUUUUGGACAAAGCCAAAUAGAGAUUGAAGUGCAAAUAAAGUAGUUUGUGAUUAGCAUAAUGAUUACAAUGGCUGUAAUUUACCUUUGUGAGGCAACCAUGUCCGAGUCCAAGGUAUACGUGAUUCGGAAGACAAACACACUGGUACAUCCAACAGAAAAUGAAUUUAAUUUUACAUGUCAGAUGCUCUCCCAAAUCGCAUUCUAAGAUGAAAGGAAGUAUUUUUAAUGUAUAUAUUUUGAAUAGAUAUGAUUAAAGUCUCUCACGCAUACGCAUCAUUGGGUUGUGCAUCGCUGCAACUAUAUUUAUGCUUAGACAAACAAGAAGAGUAAUCAGGCACUUAAAAAUCCACUUCAUUGUUCGUGUGAGACUUGUUUGCAAAUGUGCGAUGGGUUUUGUAUUGAACGACAUACUCAGUUUUCUGGAAAUGCUCAGAAAAACUUUAAGCGUAAACUGUUUAUUGUAUUGUAAAUAUUGCACCGGGUACUGUAAAGCCUUUUGCACAAUAAACCCAAAAACAAACUGUAA